rnacentral:misc_RNA from 1 species
GAUGAAGAACGCAGCGAAAUGCGAUAAGUAAUGUGAAUUGCAGAAUUCAGUGAAUCAUCGAAUCUUUGAACGCACAUUGCGCCCGCCAGUAUUCUGGCGGGCAUGCCUGUACGAGCGUCAUUUCAACCAUCAAGCCCCCGGCUUGUGUUGGGGACCUGCGGCUGCCGCAGGCCCUGAAAACCAGUGGCGGGCUCGCUAGUCACUCCGAGCGUAGUAAUACAUCUCGCUCAGGGCGUGCUGCGGGUUCCGGCCGUUAAAAGCCUUAUUUACCCAAGGUUGACCUCGGAUCAGGUAGGAAGACCCGCUGAACUUAAGCAUAUCAAUAAGCGGAGGA